AGGAGGGUGAAGAUGGUGCUGUGCUGAGGAAAGGGGAUGCAGAGCCCUGCCCAGCA
rnacentral:miRNA from 13 species